rnacentral:rRNA from 1 species
AUUGAACGCUGGCGGCAGGCCUAACACAUGCAAGUCGAACGAGUGGCGGACGGGUGAGUAAUGUCUGGGAAACUGCCUGAUGGAGGGGGAUAACUACUGGAAACGGUAGCUAAUACCGCAUACCAUCAGAUGUGCCCAGAUGGGAUUAGCUAGUUGGUGGGGUAACGGCUCACCAAGGCGACGAUCCCUAGCUGGUCUGAGAGGAUGACCAGCCACACUGGAACUGGGACGCGGUCCAGACUCCUACGGGAGGCAGCAGUGAGAAAUAUUGGACAAUGGGCAGAAGCCUGAUGCAGCCAUGCCGCGUGUAUGAAGAGGGCCUUCGGGUUGUAAAGUACUUUCAGCGGGGAGGCGUUACCCACAGAAGAAGCACCGGCUAACUCCGUGCCAGCCGCCGCGUAAUUC